rnacentral:rRNA from 1 species
AUGGAAGGAACAAGAGGUGGAAGUGAGCUCCCAGCAUAUGAACAAUCGAGGCUUGCAAGUAUUGUAGAAAACAAAACUGGCAUCAAGAGCUAUGCUCGUAGCAGGCAUGAAUUGGCUGAAGAACUUGCCUAUGACAUGCAGAGAGAUGAAAUAUUUGUCAGAGCACAUACACGUAAAAUUGGAGUUCCUACCGCACAAGCGGAGACACUAAUUAAACAACCUGAAGAAGCAGCUGAACCACCAACAACACUUGCAAUGGAAAUUCAAUUUCAUCGACAAGAUGAACAAGUUUCUACUCUACUAGGGCGCACAGAAAAAAUGCAACGAUAA